UGCCGAGGAGCCACAGGUCUCUGAAAAGCGAGGACGCUACUACGUCUCCCUGAGAUCCACCGUUAGCAGGACAACAACUAACCUGUUUGUUUGCGUAGCCAGGCAGGAGGACAUCCACCACCAGACUAAAGCAGAGAUCUAUGUGCCCGAGAAAAUAUUUGAGGAAUGCAAAGUGUCAGAUCAGAUCAGUGUUCAUGGCUGGAGUGUUGUGCUUGGAAUUCUGAUUGGAGCUGUGGGAACGUUACUCACGAUCGGCGCCAUCGGAACAUGUCAGAGAGGGAAACUAAAACAUCUGACAACUCAAGAAAAGUCAGGAGCAGAACGUGCCAAGGAAAUAGGAUCCAACGGAGAGAUAAAGUUAGACGUAGAGCUGGACAGCAGGGACUGAUGGAGAUGUGAACCACUGUCUUACAUUCAGUCUGUGCAAAAGUCAUGAGCCAGCACUCAUAUUUGAUGUAAAAUUAGCACAGGAAUUAUUUAGAACAUAAAUUAUAUUUUUUUGGGAAUCACCAGAAAAAAUACCAAGCAGUGGUUAGCACUGUUGCCUCACAGCAGGAAGGUUCCUGGGUUUGAAUCCAUCAUGUGGUCUACGCAGGUUCUUUUGUGCCCUUUCCUCACAGUAUUUUAAAUAUUUGGGAGUUAUAAUACAUAAGGAUCUCAGAGAACUAUUAGAAAGAAAUUAUUCACCAAUACAAAAGAAAAUCGAGGAAGAUACAGCGAGAUGGAAUUUAAUCUAAUCUAAGUUUACAUUUGAGAAUAGAUUGGAAUAAAAUGAAUAUACUACCCAAAUUAUUAUAUUUAUUUCAAACAGUGCCAAUAGAAAUAAGCCAGGAACAAUUUAAUCAAUGGGACAAAAUGUUGUCAGACACAUAUGACAAAGUAAAAGGCUCCAAAUUAGAUAUAAAACCUUAAAGUUGGCUAAAAUAAGGGGGGGGGGGCCUUCCCUCUCUCUAGGAUUAUUAUUGGACAGCACAAUGAAGGCGGAUGACAUGUUGGUGUAAUCCUUCAUACGAUGCUCAGUGGAGGGUCUGACCUCCAUCCACAUACAAGCUGUUAUAGCAGACAGUAGCCUGCAAGAUGUUAUAGACACUAUU